AAGGAUGAGAAGCUUCGACUAAGGUUCGACUCGAGCGAAGCGAGAGAACGUUGCCGCAGGCAACGGCCCGAAGGGCGAGGCGCUUUAGCGCCGAGUAAUCCUUCCCCCACCACCA
rnacentral:sRNA from 1 species